UUCAUACUAAAAACAAUCGAUUAAUUUUAUGCAAAAUGUCACAUCUCUAGUAACCAAUAGAAAAGUAUUAAAUGGAACCAAUAGAAAAGUAUUUAAUGGAUAACCAAUAGAAAAGUUCGAAAGUUAAAAUGGCGGAUUGUUUACAAAUUUUUAAUGUUGAUGUUUUAUCGAAAGUGUUUUUAAAUAUGUAAUUAGUGUAGAUUACAAUUCAGAUACCAUAAAUUACUCCAAAUGUCACGGAAGUGUUCAAAUCAAGGCCCCUGAGACCCCUAGAUACUCAGAAUAAGCAAAUUCAAGGUUGUUUGAGUGCUGCAAUUGUACAUCAGCCAAUUCAUCUCCCGGACAAAAUGUGGCGACCGUGACAGGACUUCAGAUGCAGACUGCUGCAUCCGAGGGCCGGUGAAGUCCGAAGACCACACAUGGGAAGGAAGUUCGGCGUGCUCAUUGUCCGCUGCGCUCGUCGCUCCGCUCGUCGCUCCGCGCCACUCGGUACGACCCUUACCCGCGGCCAGGACGCUGUGGAUUUUGCAGGAUUUUGGUUUGAUUGCACAACAUCUUUAUAUUUUUAUCAUUUACAAAUCGAUCAUGGCUCAGAGUAAAGUAUCGGACCGGGACGAACUGGCUUUGUUAGUUGGUAAAUGUGGUACAAUUAAAGCGCGAUUAACACUAUUUAAAGAUUUUCUCUUGGUUAUUGAACAAAUUGAAACCGAUAGCAUCCCGACUGGUGAGGUCACAAGGUUUAGUUUCGCUUAGCAGAGUCGCCGAACAUUCCAGGUUGGGCGUGCUCAUUGUCCGCUGCGCUCGUCGCUCCGCUCGUCGCUCCGCGCCACUCGGUACGACCCUUACCCGCGGCCAGGACGCUGUGGAUUUUGCAGGAUUUUGGUUUGAUUGCACAACAUCUUUAUAUUUUUAUCAUUUACAAAUCGAUCAUGGCUCAGAGUAAAGUAUCGGACCGGGACGAACUGGCUUUGUUAGUUGGUAAAUGUGGUACAAUUAAAGCGCGAUUAACACUAUUUAAAGAUUUUCUCUUGGUUAUUGAACAAAUUGAAACCGAUAGCAUCCCGAC